GUCUAUGGUCAUACCACCCUGAACACUCCUGAUCAUGUCUGAUCUCAGAAACUAAGCAGGGUCGGGCCUGGUUAAUACUUGGAUGGGAGAAACCUGAAUAGAGAGUUACCUAGACC
ensembl:rRNA 5S_rRNA 5S ribosomal RNA